UACAGCCUAUGAAUCCGUAACGUAUGAAUCCGAAGCCUCUUGAAUGUUAACAUAGGCUCUCCAUACCUCACUUCGACUCAAUGCGUCCCCGGCGUACAGAACGGUAACAUGUCUGUCCAAAUAUCUGAGCUUCGGUAUACGAGGAAGCCCAACCCCUUGGGAUGGUGGUUGAUAUGGCUAAAUUGAGCGGA
rnacentral:ribozyme from 1 species